GACGAACGCUGGCGGCGUGCCUAAUACAUGCAAGUCGAACGCAGUGGGGACGGGUGAGUAACACGUGGGUAACCUCCCAUCAGAGGGGAUAACACUUGGAAACAGGUGCUAAACCGAUACUGAUGGAUGGACCCGCGGUGCAUGAGCUAGUUGGUGAGGUAACGGCUCCCCAAGGACAAGAGGCAUAGCCGACCUGUGAGGGUGUUCGCCCACACUGGGACUGCGACCCGGCCCAGACUCCUACGUGAGGCCGCAGUAGGGAAUCUUCGGCAAUGGACGAAAGUCUGACCGAGCAACGCCGCGUGAGUGAAGAAGGUUUUCGGAUCGUAAAACUCUGUUGUUAGAGAAGCGGUAUCUAACCAGAAAGCCACGGCUAACUCCGUGCCAGCCGCCGCGGUAAUUC
rnacentral:rRNA from 1 species